AGCAUAACUCAUUGCGUCCUUGAUUUACGACGGAAUUCAGUUCCUACUGUGGCGGCGUUACCCAAAUCUAUCCGCACGCAUGCCAGAACAUUAGGGAUUCUUAACAUUAACGUAUGCUAGCUAACGCAUGACUAAAUACACCGUUGGAAGAAAUAAUUUUCUCAAAAGCACUUCUAGGCAAUAAAU